CAUUUGCCAAGUUGGCACAAGCCCUGCAUUGACAUUGGCAAAUUUCAAUCAAGUGUCUCCUUCAACGAUGAAGGCCGCACUUCCCGAGAAAACGGGACUUGGACAAAGGCGUCCUCGCUAGGUGACUAGCGGGACGCC
rnacentral:sRNA from 1 species